rnacentral:tRNA from 1 species
GGAGAAGUACCCAAGCAGGUCGAUGGGGACGGUUUGCUAAACCGUUAGGCUGGUGAAUGCCGGCGCCGGGGUUCAAAUCCCCGCUUCUCCGCCA